UCCGUAGGUGAACCUGCGGAAGGAUCAUUACCGUGGGGCUUCGGCCCCAUUGAGAUAGCACCCUUGUCUUUUAUCGAGCACCGUACGUUUUCCCUGGCGGGUACGCCCGCCAUCGGGGACCCUGUAAACUCUUGCAGUAUAGCAGUACCUGUCUGAAAAACAAAACAAUUAAUUAAAACUUUCAACAACGGAUCUCUUGGUUCUGGCAUCGAUGAAGAACGCAGCGAAAUGCGAUAAGUAGUGUGAAUUGCAGAAUUCAGUGAAUCAUCGAAUCUUUGAACGCACAUUGCGCCCUUUGGCAUUCCUUAGGGCAUGCCUGUUCGAGCGUCAUUUACACCCUCAAGCACUGCUUGGUGUUGGGCGUCUGUCCCCCUUUUGGGCGCGGACUCGCCUCAAAGUCAUUGGCGGCCGGUAUGUAGGCUUCGAGCGCAGCACAGUCGCGUCUUGUACCUGCGGUACCUGUGACCAAAAAGCACUUUUCCACAGUUUGACCUCGGAUCAGGUAGGGAUACCCGCUGAACUUAAGCAUAUCAAUAAGCGGAGGA
rnacentral:rRNA from 1 species